GCUGUUAUAUUAGGAGUAUGAUUAUCUCCCUUCUAAAUUCCGUUAUCCUUCAAUCCUCUCUUAUUUGAACGAUCACGAUUAAAUCAUGUUAACAUUUUGUAUUGACUUCUCUAUAGAAAGAGAAAGACAAAAAGGAAAGUGAGAGAGAAUGGAAGGAGAUUUGGAGAGGAGAGAAUUCUACUUCGUUAUAUUAGAUAAUUACUAGCAGCAUUAUCCUUGAUCCUACGUCUGUGAGAGAAGUUUAAACACAUGCGCUCGUUCAUAUAAAAAAACUUGCUCCAAAGAGAGACUGCGAAAAAGUUUUAUGAUAUGAGACGUCAUUGUGAUGAGGAUAUACACAUACUCUAUGAGACAAAGAGGGUUAAUUUGGUGAACCCCUUGAAGUGGAACACUGGAAGGGCCAACAAAACAUCUAACGUCUUAUAUUGAUGUUCUCUUGUGUUUGGUAGCAUAAUUAUUGUUAAACUAAAUUCAUAAUAUACAAGCUUGCAGGAUCCAGACAGUGGUGGACCUCAAUCGAAGCAAAUAACCUACCAUUUGAAACCGUUGCGCGCCAAAACAGCAUAACUCGCUGUCGUUACGUCAGGCACCAAAACUAACGGUAGAGAGCAAAUGCUAAGAAUUAUUAAUAUUUUGGACAUUCUCCAAAAAGCCCUUUGGCAUAGAUACUAAAAAUCAGCUUCGACGUUCAAUCAUAGGGUUAAAAAUGUAAUAUCAACCAAGAUGACGACAAAACGUAAAUAGGACCAACAAUAAGUUUCAUCAUGCAGUUCACGAUUUUUAUAUAUGCAUUUAUUUAUUUACGAAUUAAUUUUCAUACAAAUUAGAAGCAACAUAAGAUUUUAGGGCGUUAUAUUUCUAAAUUGCCUUGUUGUUAAUUAACUUAAGGAGGGUGUGUAAAUGUUUAUAUAUCGUAAUCAUCAUCCCUAAUUACGUUUAUCAUUUUUGGUAAUACACAUAUUACAUAACUAAUGUAAGAAGUAUUGCAUGAUUUCCGUUUGGUCUUAAAACAAACAUUAAAAUGCUAAUGAAGUGAAAUGUAUUUUGUAUAUGAAAACAUUUGCGAUGAAUCUUUGCUAAAUAUGUUGUAUAUAUAUUUUUCUUUCUAAAUAGGUGGUAUUUGGCCACCACAAUCCUUGAGUUUUUGAAUAAUCUAAUCGAGGUACUUGCCACUACAUUCUAGUUGAUAAUUAAUUAUAAUGGCAAGUACUUUAACUCACGUUUUUGAACAAAAUAUAUCGUUCAAAUACCCUAUUGUUUUAUGAAAAAUGUUAUUCAACUUAAAACAUAAAAUAUUCAUUUUUUACAUUAAGUUUAAUAUUGGAUUAGUUUUGUUUGGAUGUCUUUUGUACUAUAUUAUGAUGUUUGAAUAAAACAUCUUAUCCAAAGAUAAAAUAAAAAACUUAAAACAUAAAAUAAGCUUCAAAAUUCCAAAUAAUACGUGUAGGGCCCAUUUUAUUGAGAGUUGAUCCUACUAAUCCAAACAAAUUACAUUAGGAUACAACAUGUAUCUGGCUAAUUAAUAACAAUAUUUGAGAAGUCGAACAUACACUGUAAUGUCAUAUCCACCAAUUUUAACUACGUGUCAGGUGGUGCAUAGACACUUUUAACCCUGUAUUAGAUGUUAAAAUGAUGGUUUUAACCUUGUAAUGCAUAGACAUUUUUAACCCUGUAUUAGAUGUUAAAGUGACGGUUUUAACCCUGUAAAGACGAUAUAAUUUACACCAAAAUGGAAAUGUAAUGUUUAAGAAGAACACUCACAUGUAGAUAGAUCUAUGAUACUCUUCUGUGCAUUAACAUUUAAAAAAAUUCUCUGGCAUUGACUGCCACAAUGGGUGAUUCCAAAAGGCCAAAACUAGUUUUUUUUUCCAAUUUAGAUGGAAGAGUGGCAAAAUAGUCAAUGACUCAAAGGACAAGUACUACAGUUUACAAAGUCAAGUAGUGAAAAGAAUGCAAAUCAAAGCAACAUUAUUAAUAUAAAAAGCCGAAGACCCGAAGUGCCAUAGACCAAAAAAGGGUGAAGAAGGAAGUGAGAGAGUGAGUGAGUGAGUGAGAGAGAGAGACAGAGAGAAACUGAAAGAAAGAAAGAUUUGAUAAAAUCCCUGUACGUGACCUUUUUUUAAAAGCUGGGUGGUGUUGGGUUGGGUGGGUG
rnacentral:lncRNA from 1 species